UACGUAGGGGGCUAGCGUUGUCCGGAUUUAUUGGGCGUAAAGAGCGUGUAGGCGGCCAGGUAGGUCUGCUGUGAAAACUCGAGGCUCAACCUCGAGACGUCGGCGGAAACCAUCUGGCUAGAGUCCGGAAGAGGAGAGUGGAAUUCCUGGUGUAGCGGUGAAAUGCGCAGAUAUCAGGAAGAACACCCGUGGCGAAGGCGGGUUGCUGGGCCGACACUGACGCUGAUGCGCGAAAGCCAGGGGAGCGAACGGG
rnacentral:rRNA from 1 species